rnacentral:rRNA from 1 species
UACGUAGGUGGCAAGCGUUGUCCGGAUUUAUUGGGUUUAAAGGGUGCGUAGGCGGCUCUGUACGUCAGUGCUGAAAUAUCCCGGCUUAACCGGGAGGGUGGCAUUGAUACUGCAGGGCUUGAGUAAAGUUGAGGUAGGCGGAAUUGACGGUGUAGCGGUGAAAUGCUUAGAUAUCGUCAAGAACACCGAUAGUGUAGACAGCUUACUAAGCUUUAACUGACGCUGAGGCACGAAAGUGUGGGGAUCAAACAGG